ensembl:lncRNA
GUGUCCCCAACUUGGGGGUCUGACACCAUCGGGGGGACACAGAGCUGUCCCAACUUUCGGGUGUGACACUGUGUAGGGCGUCCCCAACUUUGGGGUGUGACACUGCAGGGGUGUCCCCAAACUUUGGGUGUCCCCAAAUUUGAGAUGUGACACUGUGGGGGCGUCCCCAACUUUUGGGUGUGACACUGUGGGGGUGUCCCCAACUUUGGGGUAUGACACCAUUGGGGUGACACAGAGGUGUCCCCAACUUUGGGGUGUGACACUGUGGGGGUUUUUCCAACUUCGGGGUGUGAAACUACAGGGGUGCCCCCAACUUUGGGGUGUGACACUGUGGGGGCGCCCCAACUUUGGGGUGUGACACGGUGACGCGGUGCCCCCACUUCCCCUGGGAAGUCCUCAAGCUGCUCACGGUGUCCCCAACUUCGACGCAAUGCCCCCAGGGGGGUCCUUUUGGCCCCUCUGCGUGACGGUGACACCCAAUGAAAACGCCGCCGCGUCACGGCUGUUCCACACUGAUGUCACCCGUGGUCCCCUCUGCUGGUGGCACAGAGUUCACCUCCCGUCCUCGGGACAGAGGAUGGUGACAGCGCCACAGGGCUCCGGUGUCACCGGGUCCGGCUGCAGGCAGGCCUGG